rnacentral:rRNA from 1 species
GUGCCAGCCGCCGCGGUAAUACCGGCAGCCCAAGUGAUGGCCGAUCUUAUUGGGCCUAAAGCGUCCGUAGCUGGCUGCGCAAGUCCGUCGGGAAAUCCACUCGCUUAACGAGUGGGCGUCCGGCGGAAACUGUGCGGCUUGGGACCGGAAGAUCCGAGGGGUACGUCUGGGGUAGGAGUGAAGUCCCGUAAUCCUGGACGGACCACCGAUGGCGAAAGCACCUCGGAAGGACGGAUCCGACAGUGAGGGACGAAAGCCAGGGUCUCCAACCGGAUUAGAUACCCGGGUAGUCC